rnacentral:rRNA from 1 species
UACGUAGGGCGCAAGCGUUGUCCGGAAUCAUUGGGCGUAAAGCGCGUGUAGGCGGCCCGAUAAGUCCGCUGUGAAAGUCCAGGGCUCAACCCUGGGAUGCCGGUGGAUACUGUCGGGCUCGAGUCCGGAAGAGGAGUGUGGAAUUCCUGGUGUAGCGGUGAAAUGCGCAGAUAUCAGGAAGAACACCCGUGGCGAAGGCGGUUCUCUGGGACGGUACUGACGCUGAGACGCGAAAGCGUGGGGAGCGAACAGG